rnacentral:lncRNA from 1 species
ACCUUCUUGGACAUCUACCCAACAGCAAACAAGAAACUACAUCAACCAAUAUGACCACUGGGAAUCUAGGGAAAAGAUUUAUUUCAUCCAAAAUUUUGGACAAAUGAUGAGUGGUUACUGGCUAGAAUGUAAGUACAAUGACAGUAAGAAUCUUUUGUUUUGUUGUGUUUUGUUUACAGAUGUAUCAAUGUCUGGCACAUAACAACACUCAAAAAAUAUUUUUAAAUGAUUGGAUGCAUAAAUGAAAAAGAUCAUAUACUACUAUGUCUUCUUGUCCUUACUUGUGGCAUUGUAAUAAUUCUGGAUAUUUUGUAGUGUGUAUUCUAUUUGGUAGAGUAACCUAAUCAUCCUGCAUUCAGGUUUCAGCAUAAUAUUUCAGAAAGAAAGCACACAGCAUCUGUGUUAACCUUGACAUGUCAGGUUAACUCUAUCUGAGGCUGCUGACAAAGAGAUACCUUGAUGGAAAUAUCUGGGCCUGCUGAUAGGGAUAAAGCCUGCUGGGAAAAGCAGAAGGGGGCCAGAUUAAAGGAAAAUUAACUCAGCUCUACUUCCCUCAUAGUUUUCUUACAGGGAGGGGAAUGAAAUCCCACAGUAAACAAGUGACUCAUGAGUAGACUGCUCUUGACAAAAUGUGUCAGGAGUGUUCAAGGAGAAAAGCAGAAGAUGGACAGGAAUCCUUUGUACUGAUUGAUCAUUCCCCUCUCCUCUCUCUGGUCUCAACCCCUUUGUCACACUGCACUGCUUACUCCAGUUCCAAUGGUUCAGCCCUAACUGAUGGUAUAGCUAGGUUCCAGGUGAAUUUGUGGUUACACAGCAGGGAUCAAUGCCAGGCAAUGAGGAAGGAAACUGUUCAUUCAUAAGGGGAAGAGUUUAAUAUGAACACUGAUGAGGGGGUGGAGGACCAUGUGGGGGAGUCUGGGGGUUGUGUCACAGGCUGGAGUCAGUAAAGAGGCAGGAAUAAGCAGGUAUCACAGUCAACGUGUAGGCAAGUGCUUAGGAUGUUAACAGUUUUAACUAGAGGCAGCUCAAGGUCUCCCUCUGUAGCACUGCUCCAGGUCCGGUCUUCUAGAACUUACAUAGUCUUGGUCUAAACAGGAGACUCUUUGUCCCCAAAGUUGGCAGUUGUCCUUCCCAGACAGAGCACCUUCAGUUUGUAAGCCUAGUGGAAACUUGCCCUCGUGCAUGUGGGUUGAGGAUUCAGUCAACAGCACAAAGCACUUGGAACUUCCCCUUUUCUAAAUUCUUCUCUAACGGUCAAAGUAUUGGGUCUUCCUAGGGUUCUGUUUGUUCAAGAGCUCACCUUCUUAUUUUAGUGCAUGGUGGUGAACAGUAUACCAGGUUCCCUAGGUUGAGCAAAGGUGUCACACAAAGCAGAAUAUGUCGGUAGUCACUGGUAAGGGAACUAGGUGAAUCAUGCGAGCUUUCCAAAACACAGCAAUAGGAGGAAAGUAUAGAAGAAAGUGUGUGAAGAAGACGAGAGCAGGUAAGUAGAGGCUUUGCACCACCUGAAGCAGACAGGAGGCCAGGUUUUGUCCCUUAUACAGAGAGAAGGCUGAAAGUCUGUCCAAAGGAUCCCAUCAGCUUGGUUAGGCAGAACAAGACACUUUCUCACCACAGACUGCCAACACCUUGGCACAGAGAACAGAUUCUUAGUUGGAUUCAGCAUUUUUAUGUCCAAGAAUAUCCUGAUUCAACUAAUUACUUUGUAUUCAACUAAUUACUCAGUUUUCAAAAUGUGGGCAGAUGACCCCUAGGUUGCUCAUAGGCUUUGCAACAAGGCCCACAGAAUCAAAACCAUUUUCAUAAUAAUACUAAGACAUCAUUCAUCUUUAUGAAUCUCAUUUUCUCAAGAGUCCACAGUGGAGUUUUCCUAGAUGAUACUGAUAUGUUUUAUCUGCCUUCUAUUAAGGCAGACAUUAGAGAGAUAUGCCAAAAGUCAAACAAUGCCACUCUUCUUACUAAAUUCUAUUUUUUAGGGGAAACAUAGUUAUUAUUUUUAGGUUACAAUGCAGUGCAUUUAUUAUUGUUAUUUCCAAGUGAACUAAUAAUGACUUUAAAUUUUCCUUGGUUUCAAUUUCUAAGAUGGCAAAUAUUCAUAAAUAUAAGCCAUGUAAGAAAAUAUUCUGUGAUUCUCCCUGGUUUUUUUUUUUUUUAAUUUUUUUUUUCAACGUUUAUUUAUUUUUGGGACAGAGAGAGACAGAGCAUGAACGGGGGAGGGGCAGAGAGAGAGGGAGACACAGAAUCGGAAACAGGCUCCAGGCUCCGAGCCAUCAGCCCAGAGCCUGACGCGGGGCUCGAACUCACGGACCGCGAGAUCGUGACCUGGCUGAAGUCGGACGCUUAACCGACUGCGCCACCCAGGCGCCCCUCUCCCUGGUUUUUAAGAAUGUAAAGGGAUCCUGAGAUGAGUAAGUUUGAAAACUAUUGCUUUGUAUUUUCACCAUAAAUCCAUGGUGACAAGCGCUGAAACAUGUAGUAGUUAAAAAAUAAGGGAGUGUUGUGUCGCAAUUUUUGGCUGUACAGAUAUACAAACAAUACAAAUGACUUGGCAACCAUUUUUCAAUUUUUUUUUUCAACGUUUAUUUAUUUUUGGGACAGAGAGAGACAGAGCAUGAACGGGGGAGGGGCAGAGAGAGAGGGAGACACAGAAUCGGAAACAGGCUCCAGGCUCUGAGCCAUCAGCCCAGAGCCUGACGCGGGGCUCGAACUCACGGACCGCGAGAUCGUGACCUGGCUGAAGUCAGACGCUUAACCGACUGCGCCACCCAGGCGCCCCGGCAACCAUUUUUCAAUGUCAUUUUCCUUAUGCCUAGAAAUGGCUCUAUAAUUCUAAAGCCAGACAAUUCAUACACAUGUUCUAAAGCUGGCUUCUCCUGGAGUUAUUUAUUCCUGGGAGUUAUUUGGCUGAUCAGAGGGCAACUUAAGUCUCAACUCAUCACCAUUUUAUGCUGUAGAGGCCUUAUUUAUAUAUUUUUAGGAAGCAGAGAAUCUUAUUAUAUCACAAUAUUUUAGAAGAUAUCAAGGAAAUUUAUAAGUUGUUUCGAUACACUCCUAAUAUUUUACCUCAAUGGGCUACUGGGUCUAGCAUUUUAAGGUAAUGUAAUAGUUCCUAAAACAAUAACCAUAAAAUGUUGAGCUGACAUUCAGAUGAGCUCUCUGUCCUCUUUUUCAUAUUUUAUUAAGCACAAUAACCACACGCAAAUCAACAACCCAGAGAAGAUAAAAGGUAUCCCCUAUGUGCUCUGAAUUAUUCAUAACUUCCAAAGGAAUAUAAUGUUAAAUCGUAAUACUCCAAGUCAACCAAAUUCCCACUGAGCAUCUAGCUUCCGAUAUUUCAGGUGCAAUACAUAUCCCUUCUUGACAACAUCUCAGCAUAGCAUUUUCACAAGUAGACCAGUCUUGAUGUAGUAGGAAUGUUUUUGUUCAUUCAUUUCAGGCAAUUCCUCAGUGCUGAACUGUGUUCAGCUCAGCUUAGGCAGUGUGACAAAUUAAGAUGUGCUUUAGCUCCCAAGCUGGCCUUCAGGGAGGGUAUAGUGUAUGAGAGAGAAAUGUACAGCAAUAAUCACACUCCAAAGUGGAAUCCAGGGACCUCUAUAUGAAUUAUAUACAUAAUAGGAGCUAUUAGAGCUCACAGAUGGAAGAGCUAAAAUAAAAAUGGUCAAAAUGGCAAAGAUAUAAAACAUGACACAAAAAACCAUUUCUUCACCAUUGUGCAAAAAUAGUCCAGCUGUAUUUAAAUAUGCAACCCUUUGGUGUCCACAAUUUCCCAUUCCUGUGUUUAGACUAGAAGGAGGAAAGAGAAGCUACUUAAAGUCCUUCACAUGCAAUUCUGACCCAUGAGAUAUACUUCCCCCAUCCAAAGCUAGUGCUGGGCUUCACAUCCCUUGAGGAUAUUGACAAAGGCAAACAACCCACUGAACAUGGGCUAUGGAUGUGUGGGCCCAUGGGCAGCACAGCAUUGAUACGAGCUUCUGUCUACCUGCCAGAGUCUCUCUCUCUGAGACACAAUCAGUAACCCAGGCAGGGGUUGGUGGGUAACCACAUGGGGCUCCCAUCCAACCACCAACCAACCAACCAACCAACCAACCAACCAACCAACCAAAUGUGGAAAAGAGCACAAUCUGGCAGCUGGUCCCCUCCCGCUUGUAUAAAACUAGUCUGACUGACCAGCAAAGUUGCAUUACCUACGUGUGGCACUCAAACACUUGGGAUAAAUGUUCUCUGUGGUGAGUGUUUAUUAGCUACAAGCUGGCCCUUUUGCUCUCUCUCUCUUGUUUUGGGGGGACAUUUUUUCAAGGUAGGCUUUCAGAGGCAUCGGAAUAACUGGACAGAACAGUAGCUGCUAUUUUUACUCUGUUCUGUAUGAGCUAUGGUUCCUGAUAGAGAAGUGAAUACACAUUCUUCUUUAUUGGAGAUGAUGCCAUCCCAAAACAAGUUGUUUCAUAACAACUCUACAAACAGCUGUUAUUAAUGCUGCUAAAAGGUAAUGUAAGGAGAGCUAAGUGAGUCCCAUACAGCUGCCAUCUCUAGUAUGGUGAGGACACAAAAUGGGACCUGUACAUGUGUAUGCCCUAUAAAGGGAGACUCACAUUAAGUGUAGUAUCAAAAAGACAAGAAACAACGAUGGUCAGGAAGGAUGUGGAGAAAAGAGAACCCUCAUGCGUUGUUGGUGGGGAUAUAAAUUGGUGCAGCCACUGUGGAAAACAGUACGGAGUUUCCUCAAAAACUUAAAAAUAGAACUACCAUAUGAUCCAGUAAUUCUAUUACUGGGUAUUUGCCCACGGAAAACAAAAACACUCAUUCAAAAAGCUACACACACCACUAUGUCUACUGCAUUAUUUACAAGUAGACAAGAUACAGAAGCAGCCCAGUGUCUGUUGAUAGAUGAAUGGAUAAAGAAGAUGUGGUGUGUGUGUACACACACACACACACACACACACAAAAACACACAAUGGAAUAUUACUUUGCCAUAAAAAGAAUGAGAUCCUGACAUCUGUGACAACAUAGAUGGACCUAGAGGGUAUUAUGCUAAGUGAAGUAAGUCAGACAUCUUAAAGAUGAGUGCAAUAUUUCACUUACAUAGGGAAUCUAAAAAACAAAACAAACAAAAAACAAAGAGAAUCAUAAAUACAGAGAACAAAACAGUGGUUGCCAGAAGGGACGCAUUAGGGGAAUGGACAAAAUACAUGAAGGGGAUUAAGAUGUACAAAUUUUCAGUUCUAAAAUGAAUAAGUCAUGGAGAUGAAAACUAAAAAAGGUAAAGCACAGGGACUAUAGUCAAUAAUAUUGUAAUAACGUUGUAUGGUGACAGAUGGUAACUACACUAUCAUGGUGAACACCAAGUCAUGUACAGAAUUGUCCAAUCACUAUGUUGUACACCCCAAACUAAUAUAACACUGUAUGUCAAUUCUACCUCAAUAAAAACAACAACAGAGCUGAACACUGUCUGUACUUUUCUCCAUAGAUCUUCCAGCCAAACUGACUAUAUAGAAACCAGACCCUAUAUACCCUUAUGAAAAAGGAGUAGGGGGUAUGCUGACCUGAUGAAAAAAUAUGCCUCUGGGAAAUGUAAAAAAAAAAUCAGGGCAAAAGGGGACCCAAAGACCUCCUCUUCUAGUCUACCAAGGAUCCAAGAAGGUUGCGAUAAGGGAGGCAGUAGUUGCUGGGGCGACCACUGCAUCACUAUGGCCCUCCACCACCACGUGUUCCACAUGACGGUACUGCCCGGCAUGGCCCUUGCUGUCUGGCUGGCCUCCCACAUUGCCAGGUUACUGUCAGUGCCAGUCCUAGAUGUAAAACCAAAAUUAAUGUAAGAGGUAUGGAGAGUUCCCGACAUAGCUUUUCAGACAAAAGCAAAAGUUAAAAAAGCAGCCCCAUGAACAUCAGUAAAACCAGCUGUUUCUGAUUUAGAGGCAAAAAUAACUCCAUAAACAUUAGCAAAAAUGCCAAAACAAAUGACAUCCAUAUCUACUAAGAGGAAUGAACUUCAUGCAUGAAAGCCAGAUCCCUUGUUUAUGGUCCGAGGAGCAAAUUUUGGGUGAUAAAAGCAUUGUGUUAUUUGUGAGCAAGCAUCUACUUGGAAGCAGUUCUGACUCUGGCUGUCCUUGGUUGGUGUGUGUUCUUCUAAUCUGCUCCUUUUACCCAUCUGAUGGGCCGUGGCAAUGCCAGGAUUAUGUUCCCCUUAUCAUGGAUUCUUUUUUUUUUUUUUUUAAUGUUUUUAAUGUGUAUUUAUUUUUGAGAGAGAGAGAGAGAGACAGAGCAUGAGCAGGGGAGGGGCACAGAGAGAGGGAGACACAGAAUCUGAAGCAGGCUCCAGGCUCCAAACUAUCAGCACAGAGCCCCACACAGGGCUCAAACCCACAAACUAUGAAAUCCUGACCUGAGCAGAAGUCAGUCAUUUAACUGACUGAGCCACCUGGGUGCCCCUCAUGGAUUCUUUAUCUAUGUUCUAUUUUCAAAAAUCCCUUGUCAAUCUUAAUUUUGUGAAAAUGUAUUUUUCGAAACCAAACAUUUUAUUUUUUUAUUUAUUUUUUUUUUAAUUUUUUUUUUCAACGUUUAUUUAUUUUUGGGACAGAGAGAGACAGAGCAUGAACGGGGGAGGGGCAGAGAGAGAGGGAGACACAGAAUCGGAAACAGGCUCCAGGCUCUGAGCCAUCAGCCCAGAGCCCGACGCGGGGCUCGAACUCACAAACUGCGAGAUCGUGACCUGGCUGAAGUCGGACGCUUAACCGACUGCGCCACCCAGGCGCCCCAAAACCAAACAUUUUAAUAUGUACACACACGUAUAUGUAUAUGUAAAGACACACACAUAUUCUUUCUUCUUUUCUUAACAUAUUCACAGUUCAGUACAGAUCCCUUAACAUAAAAAAUGUGUGGCAAUUACUGUUGACACCUCCUCCAGUCUACUGGGGCUGGGUGGUCAUGGGGUACUGCAGAGAGGAAAUCUGUUUAUACUCCUCCUUCUUGAAAAAUGGAUCAAGGGCCAGUUCAGAAAACUUGCCCCGAAGCUUUGAAAUAUGUGUGAAAAAUGCCAAGCGCUUGCCAAGAGCUGCAAAAAGAAAACAAGGCAGAAUGCAAGUGAGCAGGACAACUGUGCUGGUCAGUAUGGCUCGAUGCAAAACUUGGAGAAGUGGGGUACCUAGGUGGCUCAGUCUGUUAAGCGUCCGACUCUUGAUUUUGGCUCAGGUUAUGAUUUCACAGUUGUGAGACUAAGCCCCCAAUCAGGCCCCAAGUUGGGCUUUGUGUUGUGCUCCUUGCUGGGCAUGGAGUGUCUCUGUCUCUCUCUGUCUCUCUCUGUCUCUCUCUCUCAAAAAAAAAAAAAAAUUAUAGAAGAGGCCCUCAAGAAUGUGGUGGAACCUCACAAUACUCAGGUAUGUGUGUCCAGCCAGGCCUCUGUCCUGAGCUCUGGACUCCUGUGUCUACCUGUGCCCUCCACUUUGGCGCUACCUUAGAGCUCCUGUUCCACAGGCCCAAACUGGAACUUGUGAUCUUCCUGCCAAAAGCUAUCAUCCCCUUUCUUGCCUUUCUUAUUUCAGGAAAGGACACUUCCAUUUUUCCCUCUGUCCCCCUCACAUCCCACCAUUACACUCUGUCAGUUCUAGCUUCAAAAUCUACCUUGGAUCCACCCCCGUUUCCCAUCUGCACGGUCACUACCUAGCCCAAGCCAACAGACCAAGUGAUAGCUGGGAGUUCUAUGAAUGGACUCUCUGAUUCGGCUCUUGCCUCUCUCUUCAGUGUCCUCAAGGGCAGCCACAUAAUAUUUUUUAAAUGCCAAUCAGAUCAGGCCACUCUCCAACUCAGAGCCCUUCAAUGUACUGGAGCUGGAGUAGGGCUGGAGCAGGGAAAGGACAGGAUGAGCCUGGACCAUCUUAUUGUGCCAGAAGGUAACACAUGCUCAAAGAAGGAUGCGGACAUGUCAAAAGCCAGCUCAAGGGGGCUCUUGCUGACAAAACCUGUGAUAGUCUGAGUGCCACAAAUGUAAUUAUAACCCAUGGAAUAAAUCAAGAAUCUAUGAACUCAUACUGAUCCGAAUGAAUGAAUGAAUGAAUGAAUGAGAGAGAAAGAAAUCUCCUCCUUCAAGUAGAUUGCCAACUAAUACACGUAGAUGGGAUGAAGGAGUUCCAAGCUUAGCAUUUGCCUACCACCAUAGUAAAGACUAUUUCAAGUAUGAAGCACCUAGCAAGUGAGCAUCUACUAGUGAGUGAAUGCUUGAUGAGAAACAAUAUAUUCAUCUAGCCUCAAAAUAUCUUUUAAUACUUAUUAACAGGAAAAAAUAGUUCAGUGGAGAAAGCUGGUAACACUACCUUAAUCAUGUGAUCAAAGUUAACAUCACUUGUAAUGGGACUAGUCAACAAUAUUGUCUUUUUUCAAAUAUUUAUUUCACUUUUUAAAAAUGUUUAUUUAUUUUUGAGAGAGAGAAAGAGAGAGAUAGAAGGAGGGGAAGAGACAGAGGGACACAGAGAAUCUCAAGCAGGCUCCAUCCACACUGUUAGCGCAGAGUCCAAUAAUGGGGCUCAAACUCACGAACUGUGAAAUCAUGACCUGAGCUGAAAUCAAGAGUCAGACACUUAACUGACUGAGUUACCCAGGCACCUCAAGAGCAUGGUCUUCUGAUAUGCUGCAUCACAGUGUGUUUCUGCAAAAACACACAAUCUAAUCAUUAGUACACAUCAGACAAACCCAAAUGGAGGGUUAUUCUAUAAAGUAAAUGACAUGUGAUCUUCCACAAUGUCUAGGUCACAAAAAAAAAAAAAGAGUAACUGUCUCAGAUGGAAGAGACAACUGGACUCUAGAGCCACCAGGCACAUUAAAAGGACAAUGUGCAACAUUCUAACAGGCCUGAGGAUUAGAAAGGCCUGCGUCAAGGUUAACUGCCUUAUCUUGAUGACUGCACUAUGGACUUACAGGAAAGGGUCCUUUAGCAUCAUAUCAGCAACUUAUCUUUAAAUGGUUUAGUAAAAAAUAAUAAUACGUAUAUAAAUACAGUGCGUGAUCACACAAGUAUGAUAAAAUGUUUACAGGAAUUCUUAGUGAAAGGUAUAGGAAAGCUGGCUAGUGUACUGUUCUUGCAACUUUUCUCUAAGUUUGAAAUUAUUCAAAAUAAAAAGUUAAACACACCUUUAUUGUUUUCUCAUUACACUCAGGACAAAUGCUAAAAAAGCAACAUCAGGUCCUUGGUGACCUGGUCCCAGCAUAACUGUCAAUUAUUUUACUCCAACAUCUUAUUUCCUUGAGACUUUGAUUUUGCCAGCCUUAGUUUUUCCAAACAUGUUACCAUGUAGGAAAACUGUCCCAAGGGGUGAAGGGGCUGCUAUAUUUAAAUCCACGUAUGUAGAGCUGAAUGAGUACACUGACACAUAAAAUAAUGACCCGUAAUGACUUAAAACUACUGAUGUCAGUAAUUAGGACUAUUUUCAUAGUACCAAGAAGGUGAUUAAAAAAAUUAAAUAAGUACUAAUUAAUUUCACAUAAUAGUCACCCUGGGACCUUCUGUAAGAUCUGCUGUUAGUGAUGUAUUUUUCUGUAAUUAAUUUUUAUGUGUAGUCCUGGGGGCUCCCCACCACCUUCUGAAUUGCACCUUGACCAGCACACUUGACUCUUCCAGCCUCCCUACAAUCCAGCCUUCUCUGUAAAGAAAGGGGAAACACAGAGAACCGGAAAUGCAGCAAAACUUUCAUUUGGCAAUACUUUCUUGGCUCCGAGAGGGAAUUAAAGUAAUUAAUACAAGCAAGAGAGUAUUAUGGGAGAAUGUGUUUUCUCUCUGCAGUUUUUAAAGGUACAAAGCAGAGGACAAAAAGGAGAAAGACCAUAUUCAAUAAAGAGAAGAUCCAAGUUCAAGUCUAACCACUACCACCACUUAAUAGCCUGGCAAAUCACAUUCUUUCUCUAGGUCUCACUUUCCCUGGGUUACGAUUUUUAAAUGUGGACAGGACCUUGAACCCCAGAUGGCAGAGGCCAAGUCAGAAGACCUGUGGCUUUUAUGGUGACAAGUAAUGUCAGUUGCAGCACAAGUCUUGAUAGGAAGAAAGUGGGGGUGACUUAACCCUCAUCUCUUUUCUAGGCCCACUAUGCCAACAUAUUGGUUAACACUGAACAAAUCACAUGUUCUUAAAAAUGGCAUAAUUUUGGAGUACCUGAGUGGCUCAGUCGGUUAAGCAUCCAACUCUUAAUAUCUAUGCUGAUAGUGAGGAGCCUGCUUGGGAUUCUCUCUCUCUCUCCCUCUCUGCCCCUCCCCACUUGCUCUCUCUCUCUCUCUCUCUCUCUCUCAAAAUGAAUAAACAUUAAAAAAAUAGUAUCAUUUCCUCCUUUGAGUACCAAUUUUUCUUCCAGAUUCCUAAAGAAUGUUCCAGAACCAGCUUUCCAGCUCACCUGUAACAGAUAAUGGCUAAAUAGACAUGCUUGUUCUUCAGUGCAGACAGGAAGGCAGCUUGAGUUCUCAAAAAAAGAUGUAAGGGAGACCACAUAUUAUACAUAAGAAGAUAUGCAUGAGUGGUUGUUUCAGUGGUACAAGGCAGAGAACUCUGGAAGACACUGAAGGAAAACCAAACCACGGAGUGAAGAGUGGUCUGCCUGUAGCAGACACCGGGUGUACAGAAACACUCGGGUGGCCUCCAGACCAGGCACUCAAGAGCACAUGAUCAUACUUACUUGGCCAGCUUCCACUGGGGAAGCAGUGGCUCCUCAAUAUUAGAACUCUCCCUGAAACUAAAGCCCAGUAACCUCUGCCUGCACUUCAGCAACUUCGCACAGUGGCCUGCUCCGGCCUGUCCUGCCUUGACAAACAUGGGCGCAGGAAGCCCAGCAGCCAUAUCCAAGGGCAGCUGUCACACUGAGUGAUGGUCCCCUGGCUGCCUUUCCCAUUAGCCAGUUCCUUGAGAAGAGAGACUGGGCUUUUUAUCUCUAUGUCUCUGCCACUUAGUACACAGUCAGGCUUAGCAAUGUCUCCGGUGAGUGAAAGCUCAAGGGGAUUUCAGGGUACAACAGUAUCUUAAGCUGGUGCUUGGACACACUGUCCUUUCUACCCCAGGUCAUCCUAAUUCCAGCAAUAAUGCACCCCACCACUCUCCAGCACUUGCUCUGCUCAUCUCCUCACUACCCACUCCUACACGUUUACAUGACACAACCAAAACAAAAAGAAGAGCAUGCAGCAGUCCAAAUGCUGACCAGAACAUCUUCCUCUCCUUAUGGCUCUGUUCUCCCCGGACCACACGGAUGCUUCUUUUCAACUCAUAUUAAUUAUGAUUCUGAACAUCCCUCCUCACACACACAUAUAUACAAGUUUUCUCUUUGUAGCUUCUAAUUUCCUAGUUGUUAAGCAACUAGGAAACACACUGAGUUGUACUCAGAGUGUGCUAAGUGGUUUUAAUUCUGCUGAGCGUUAUUAUUUUCAGUGCUUUCCCUUUAAAAACAAUGAAUUUUAAAAAAUCAGCUUCAGAUGGUCUCCUUCAAAGGAGUAGAAAGGGGAAAGGUUGUUUUUUUUUCUCUUACACUUCAAAUCUUCACUAAUUUAGUUCCAUUAAGGUCUAAAUGGGAUGCAUUUAAAUACUCAUCAAAGAAUGUUCCUUCUGGCAGGUAAAAUGGGUGCCUUGUAACUGGAUCAGCACAGCUCAUGAAAAAGAAGGGUAACAGCGACAGCAUUGGGAGCUUUUGCUCGGGAAAGUGGGCAAUGGCUUAAUGAAACAGUUCUCAUCACCCAACCAAAUGAACUAAUUUGCAGUCUUGCCUGAUUUUCACUGGGUAUUUACAUGUCAGGGGGAGAAUUACCUGAAAUCUAAUGCCUGUCCUAGAGAAAACAUUCCUAAGGAGCCAGACAGAGCUGGAUCCAUUUUUUUGUUUUCUUUUGGUUUGUUUUUGGAUGUAUUUCUCUCAAUAUGUCAAUUUCAGGAAAAGCUCCUUAAUUUUGCUUGAUCAAGUGGGGAUCUUAGCUCUAAUCCAGCUAAUCAAAAUGUAUUACCGGAGACAUAAUAACUAAAACAUGUUUGGAGAGAGAAAGGUGAUUUAAACAAGGGUUUUCAGAGGAGCCCUUUAAGAGGGGAGAGUCACGGGGUCCCCACCUGUGUCCUCAUUGGCUCCAUUCAAGCUGAACUAUCUGGAGUCUCUCCAUACUAGGCAUUGUACUUUUCCUGCAAGAGUUUUGGGGAAAAUUGGUUUAGAGCCACUGAUUCACCAGACGUGAAAGCAAGCGAAAGCUGGUGCUACAGACUGCCAGAUCCACCAGUUUGGGGAAUGGCCUGGCUGGCUCGCUGCUUCAUUCCCAGGACCCAUACCAGGCCUCACACAUACCAGAGGCUGUAACCACUUGUUGAAUGAAGGAAUGUUAGGAUGGAUGAAUGGAGGGAGGCAACAGUGAGACCUAAAAGUGGGCAGAGAGCUCCCAUUUUGAUUAAGCUCUGAAACAUUUUCUCACAUCCGGAUUGCAGACUAAAUGCAUGGUGAGUCAACAAAGGAGGCACAAAAAUAAUUUGCAAGAGCUAAAACAAAGUAGCUCAGAAUGCUGGUGGUUUUAAUGGAGACGUGCAAACCUUCACUGACAGGAUCUAAGAAUGAGAUUCUAUACCUAAACUGUGACAUCUGUCAGUCACCGUUAUCCCCCUGAAUCUGAUGUGGUUUUAGCUUGGUAAGUCUGGGCCACAGUCUCUGGGUCUUGAUAAGACAGACUGGGCCUUUCUAGAAAGAAUAGACUUCUGUCUCAGAAUUAUGAAGGGCAACUUACUCACUGAAAUCCCCUAACAUUCAAACAAGGAAUACACACUGAAGUUAUAGGAGACAGUUUCAAGGAAAAUAAAAGUACAUGGCCCAGUGGAUAGUAAACUUAAGGAUAAACUGGUAUUUUGUUACUUGAAUACCCCCAAGAUAGAAAUAUGAACCCAGUCUACCACCAUGCCAUCAAGAGAAAUAAAAUGUGAGCCAUAUAUGUAAUUUUAAAUGUCUAGUAGCCACAAUAAAAAACGUAAAACAAUAAAGGUAAUUUUGACAAUAUAUGUUGUCGAACCUGACGUAUACAAAAUACUAUCUUUUGACAUGUGAUACAUUUUUCAAAAUUAUUCAUAGGGUAAUUUACAUUCUCUCUUCCCUAUUAAAUCUUGAAAUCCAGUUUGUAGUUUAGUUACAGCACAUCACAGUUUGGGCUUACCAUGUUUCAGGUACUCAACAGCCACAGGUGGCUAACGGCCUCGCCAUGUCAGCACAGGUCUGGUGCUGACAGUCUGGUAAGAGUGAUGAAUGGACAUAUUCACAAUGAGCAUCAUCAAAAAAGCAGCAGGUCUGGAGUGUACCUCUUUGUGGGCUCCAGUUAUUCCAGCCCACUCUUACUUCCUUUAGGUUCUUGUCACAUUGUUUUAACACGGCUGUCACUCAUAGAACCUAUCACCAGACUCCAAGCGUGAGCACGACCCGGGCCUUUACAGUCAUAACUUAGGCCACUGCAGCAGCCCAAGAAGAGAACAUGUGACCAAGCAGAGCCAAUCAGAAUCUGGCCCUAGGACUGGACUAUAGAAGCCAGGGGAAAAGGCUUUCUCUUUCCCCUCUGGGUGUUAGGGUGUGAUUUGGGGGCUUUUCCCAUCAUAGGGAGAGCCUGUCUUAGGAUGGGGCCUUGAUGCAGCAAAGGAAAACCCUAGUCCAUAUGCUGGCCCUGGUAUGAUCUUCCCUCCAUGGAUUCUGCACCUACUCUGUAUCCUCCCGGCACGUUCUCUCGUUUGCUUAGGCUAAUUUGAAGUGUGUUUCAUCCACUCUCAUUAGACAGAGUCAUGAUUUGGCCCAAGCCACAGGCCUGGCCAGUUGCCACGAUCUCCCACAACAUGCCUCGGUGCUGUCUCUGAGACAACAUACCAGGCCACAGAGGGCCCACCGGCCACCCUCAAAUGGCAGGGCUUACAGCUUUUAAAUUUCUUCAGUGCUGUGUUAGUUCUUGUUCCCUCCCCGGGUCACCACUUGCCUUGCAGACCUUGGCCCUUACACCUCCAUCUGGUGGACAGAUGUGCCAGAAAGGUGAGCUGCUUCACCUUGCUGCUAGAGCCUGUGGUUCCCCUUUGUUCUCCCCAUGUGUCUGCUGUCUUAUUUUAUUUCCCCUUUCAUGCAUCCUGCCUUGAGAAGCAGAAUGGUACCACGAGUUUGUCUUGGCACUACAGGGUCUCACUGGCCUCCUUCUAAAUGUAUGAAAGACCUAUUCUGAAGCACUGACCUUUUAGAAGCAAGUGAACACAAAAGGACACUGUUCCUGGCCUGAGGUUAUAAACGCAAAAAUGACAACCACGUCCUCUGCAUUUGCAUGGGAUCCACACUGAUAUCCCCAGCAUGACUGCAAAUACGUUCACCCAGGACAUAGCUACCAACGGCCCUGGUGAGCAACCCCUUGGAGGACUGUGGAGAUAAAACCCAACCUGUCCUACACUCCAUCAUAGAGGAUUGACUGACUGAGAGAGAAUUCUGAGAAAUGUCCAUUUAAAUUUACAUAUUAUGCUAUUUUUUGAGAAACAAAUUGAAGAUUCGUCAUUAAGUGAAGUAGUUAUCACUUCUGCCUCUAGCUUCAGUCUUGGUCUCGCCUGAGCAAGUUCCAGACAGAUGCUGACAGCGUUCCCUUCAGGUGCCUGUGAUCAAUAUAUUCCCACAACAACACUUUACUGACUGUAGUUCUAAUGGAGAGUCUUAUGAAAUCUGAAGGAGUCCCCUUGAAAGUCUAUGGGGAAGUAGACAGGCCUUCUUUACCUCGAAGGAGUUUACAAGAUAGGUAAUUAAAAUUCACAGUUCCAAUUAUUCUUGCUCCUCUCAGGAAGUUCAGCACGCUAAUUAAUGCUUCAGUGUGCUUAAUGUUUUAAGUGAUCUGGAAAAAUGAUGAGUGAAAUUCAUAUGGAGACUUUAGCGGGCUUUUUUUUUCUUCCCACUGAACUAACUCCCUUGCCAGGGAACUAGUGCGAACCGACCAGGUCUGAUGCUUCUGGGGAGUGCAGGUCGUAGAGGUUUGCUCUUUUAUUUUGCACAUUCUCUUCCUUCAGCUGUGAAGAGUGAGGUGCUCACAAGCAGGGAGCAGCCCCGCCCAUCUCUCUGCAGCUACACCAGUUUGGGUGCCUUCCUCAAACUGCCCCAUCACACAUUCCCUUCUUCCCUACCUCAGCAAGAGGACAGGUUUGUGGGUCUGAACGGGUCACCCUGAGUCUGCUGAAGAUGUAAACAUCUGUCAAAUUAGGACCAGCUCUAAGACUGGUAGGUUGAGUCCCACGGGGAAAAUUCUUACCUCAAAAUGGCCAGGGUAUCCAUCCCUGGAGUUUCCAAAAACUUUUUUUUCAAUGGUUAUUUAUUUUUAAGAGAGCACAAGUGGGGGAGGGGAAGUGAGAGGGGGGCAGAGGAUCUGAAACAGGCUUUGGGCUCCCAGCAGCGAGCCCAAUGUCGGGCUUGAACUCACAACUGCAAGAUCAUGACCUGAGCUGAAGUUGGAUGCUCAACCGACUGAGCCAUCCAGGCGCCCCUCCAAAAACUCUUACUUACUAAGGGAUCCAAGUCAAGUUAUCUACCCUACCCAAGCCUCAGUGCCUUAUCUUCAAAAUGGGAGCACAACAACACCCACCUAGCCAGCACCACCUGAGGUAAUGCAGGACUCUCUGAGCCUCCUCCCCCAGAGCCUACCUGUAGCAGGACAUCACUUUCUUUUCUUCUCCUUCACUGAAGAUCACCUUUGAGUGUAUUCCCACCUCCCCUCAUGUAUUUAUUUUAUUUAUUAUUUUAUUUUUUAAGAGAGAGAGUGAAAGCACAAGCAAGGGAGAAGGGCAGAGGGAGACACAGAAAGAAUACCAAACAGGCUCCACGCUCAGCACAGAGCCUGACAUAGGGCUCGAUCCCAUGACCCUGAGAUCAUGACCUGAGCCAAAAUCAAGAGUCGGACGCUCAACAGACUAAGCCAAGUAGGCAUCCCCUUCCCUUCAUAUACAUUAAAAUACUUAGUCAUUCAAAAACAUGGAGGACCCAGAAAAGUAAGUAAGUAAGUAAGUAAGUAAAUAAAUAAAUACCUUUAAAACCUUCCAUGGACUCAUGACCCAAGGCAACCACCACUAACAUUUUGCAUUUCCUUUCCUAAGUACAGGUGCAUUUUAUGUAGUUGAGAUCAUGCUAUAGGCACAACUUUGAUCCUUCUUCCACUUAACAUUAUACGCAUUUUCCUGUGUUACUCUGUAUAGUCUCCAGAAACAAUACUUUCAAUAGUUGUAGACUAUUCCAGCCAGUGACUGCUCAAGGUUUAUUCAACCACACCAAGCUUUUCAGAUAUCACUGUGUCCAACUUUUUGCCAAUACAAACAGCACUGUGGUUAGCAUUCCCUUAGGAGAGGCCCCGGAGGUAGAAUUCUGGGUCUCUGAGCAUAAAGAUGUCAAGGGCUCUUGACACAUGCUGCAGUUGGCUUUCCUUAUACACACCGCCACAAGCAAUGCCGUGGAAAGCACGCUUCACAUCUCUAGGAACUACCACUUAAGAUUUUUUUUAAUAACUUGAUUGAUGAAAAAUGAUCUUAUUUACACUUCCUCAACUUCUCAAGAGACCAACCAUUUUCAUGUUAACCAUAUGUCAUUCCUCUUUUGUGCCUUCACAGGAAGGAAGGCUCUCUGCCAGAGUGGGGCAAUGGAUCCCAACCUUCAGCAUGCUGAAGAACUGGUGGGAAAGUUCAGCGGAGGAUGGGGAUCUACCUUUUUAACUAAUUCUAAUGCAAGUGAUUCUUGGGGCAGAACUGGAGAAAUUCUGGGUAAGAGUAUUAGUUAUAAGACCUGUUUCUAGAGUUUUCCUUACACUGAAGAUUUCAUUCUUUUCAGCAAAUAUCCUCUCCAGUGAACAAUCCUCACAUUUGGAUUGCCUUUUUUUCUUUUAAUUUUUUUUAACAUUUAUUUAUUUUUGAGACAGAGAGAGAGCAUGAACAGGGGAGGGUCAGAGACAGAAGGACACACAGAAUCUGAAACUGAGCUGUCAGCACAGAGCCCGACGCGGGGCUCGAACUCAUGGAUCACGAGAUCAUGACCUGAGCCGAAGUCAGAUGUUCAACCGACUGAGCCACCCAGGUGCCCCUGGAUUGCCUUUUUAUGAAGCACAGGAACUUAAGUCAAAUUUUCCAAUAUUUUCUUUUGCAACUUCUUUUCAUUCUUCUACAGAAAAUUUUUUACUUAAGGGUAAAGUUUUACAAAUGUUGCUUUUUUAAUUUUCUCCUUCUUUAAAAACAAAAAUCACUGCUAAAUCUAUCUGGAAUUUAAGUUGGCUAUCUGGCAUAAAGUAAAGAUGUAAAAUUUUAGAUUUUGUUUUUCAAAAUGACUAACCACCUUCCACCAACCAUUAUAAUGUAAUUUCUCCCUCCGUCACCAACUCUUGCUGCCUCUUUUAGCUUACAUCAAAUACUUACAGCUGGUGGGGCCUCUGAUAGACAGAACCUUGCCAUGUCCUCUCUCCAGUUUUUCAAAACCUUUUUCUCAUAAACUUUAGCCUUGAGAAAACUCCUGGUCCCUGAAACCUUCCACGGUGUGGCUUUAGGCAAAGUUAAGAAUUCAACAGUUUUAAUUUCUUCCUAUAGAUGACUAGGAAAAGCAUUAUAGCUUUUUGUAAAUAUGAUAAAUUCAUGUUUAUAGGAAUUUUACAAUAAUGUUGUGACUCAAAUAUCGUCGAGGCAGAAAUUUUAAAGCUGAAGGGACUCUAAGGAAUAGCUACCUCUAGUUCAGUCCUGUGAAGAAACACACUGAAACAGAGAGUCCUAAAACCAGGUGCCCAAAUUCCUGCAGCUAAUGGGCAACAGGGCUAGAAUUCAUGGUCUGUAUCUGCUGGAAACUCCAAAGUGCUUUGGCCACCAUCCUCUCUAGGAUUUAUUGGUGGUCAUAAUUAACCAGGGAGGUGACAGUUGACUUAAAGACCCCAUUUAGGGUCUGUUAAAUACGUUCGUUCUUACACCCAACGACCAUCCAAACCAGAGAAAGGAAGCUGACUUUAGGCCGAUGUGCCACAUAGGCUAAAAUAAAUACUUCCAGAGGAUUGUUUGGAAGAAGUGCAUCUUGCUCAUGGAACAGCACUUAGGGGAGAAAAUGGACUAUCUUUCUCUCCCCACUGAGUCUCUAAACUCAGGUUAUACCUAGAUUCAAACGUAAGGGGAAUCCCAUACUCCUGAGACUGACGUGCGGACGAUGUUGUCAGUGACCCGCCACAGCGGGCCCCGGGUACUGACGUGUGCCAGUCACACACUGGCUAUACCUCAGUGCAGGAGACUGGGGGCUCAUGGUGAAGCGGCUCAAAGCAGAGAGCAGGUGUCAGGGCAAUUCAGGACAAACAACAACAACAAGCCUUUCUCCCAAAUAGAAUUAUUUUUGCCAGUCUGAAGUUAAAUAGAAAGCCUUGUUGGACAUAUGGGAAAGUUUCUUGACAACGUAAAUGUCAAAUCUAAAAUAAUUUCCAGCUCUAGAUUUAUGUAUUCUCCGACUAGAGGGAAAUGUGCUCUUUAGGUAUCUCCAGCCCUAGGUUUUCUGAUCAUGCAGGUAAUGCUCUUAAACACCCACACAUUUAAGCAAAAGAUUGUUUUUUCCACCUUGUGAUGGCAUGUGUCUAUUCCCAUCAUUCAGUGGGAUGCUUCUGAGAAAGAGUGUAUGCUUUAGGUGUGGAGGUGACCAUUUUAAGGUGGCCUGGCUUAGCUCUAUGCCAAAUUGUGCAGGACAUUUGAGGCUCUGUGAAUUCUCUCUUGACUAUCCAUCUCUUCCUUCUUUAAAUCCUUUAUGAGUGAGCCCAGAGUGGCAAAACUCAAGCUCUGAUCCAGAUCUUGACCUGCCCCUGUACCCAUAAGAACUUUUCAGGGCAUCACCCUCCCAAGUAUGAUGCAGGUAUUUCUUCUAGAACAUUAUAAGACCCUCAAAAAUUGCACCCUAAAAAUCACAGCUUAUGAAAAAAACAGGGAUGGAACAGACCACCAAGAACCCAUGGAACUUUGUAAUCAAGAUUCUCGCAAAACCUAUAACAACCCUCCUAAAAUCGUGAACCUGGCUGAAUCUUCCCUGGCCUAGCCACACACCCUGGCAUCAGUGCCACACAGCCUCCUUCCCUGGGCUUGCGCUUCCUCCUUGCAGAGAAAAGUCCUUGAAGACAUUCACUUCUAAAAGAGACUAGAUCCAUCAAACUUAAACAUAUGUGCCAGGGACCCCCUUCUUCAUUAAUUCUUUGUUUUCUUCUCUCAAGCACAGGAAGGCCUGUCUUCACAGUGUCUUUAUCUGCACUUGUCACUCCCCAAACACAGCAGGAACUGAAGUGGUUCUUGAAGUCACUAAAUCAGCCACUUUUUGCACCAAAAGGAGGCACUUCUACACUAUUUUUGGCUUCUUUCUGAAGGUCUUCAUAUCCUGCUGAGGCUUUCUGGUUCCUUGUGAGAUCAAUGUUAAUAUGUCAGGGAAAGUCUCACUCCGUUCCAGCCAAUGCAACCCAUGCAUCCCACAGACAUCACACCUUGCUGAGGAGCUGACCGUCAGCUCACUGGAUUUUUAAAUUUUUGUCUUCUUGUGAUUGACUGAUUGGUAAAAUAUGUAUAACAUAAGGCUGACUGUUUUAACCAUCCUUAAGUGGAGAGUUCAGUGGUAUUAAAUAUUUUACUGCAAUUAAAAAAAAGGGGGGGGGUUUCUAAAAACCUAUUUAACCAAAAGAUAAAAAGAUCAGAAGAUAAUCAGAAAUUACUUUUACCACCACCCUCCUCCUUGUUUUUCCACUUGUCUUUUCUUGAGGUAUCACUAUGGAUAGCAAGCCAGCAGUGGCAGCCAUAUCUGUAACAGCUUAGGCCAAAUUCUAGGGAAGAGCAUAAUGAUCAUCAUUACUUCUUGGACAGCAAAGGUCUGAAGGGUUCUGAGACAAAAGCAUGUACAGCAAAUGUUUAUUUUUCUUUCCAAGUUUAUGUUUUGGGAGGAAAUAAGAGAGAAACUAAAUUCCUCAACAGCAUGCAAGUGGAACCUUCUAGAGUCAAUGCAGACAUAAGGUGGAUGUCUGAUGGCCCACGUCCAAAUCGUGCCAAUAUGUGACCUUGGGCAAAUGAUUGAACCUUUCUGGGCCUCAAUUUGCAAGCUAUAAAGCGAGGAUAAUGUGAAAAGUAGACGGGUUAAUAUAAUUACAGCAUUCCUAACAGGGUAAGGCACAUAAAAGUCCUCACUAAAUGUUAGUUACUAUUAUUGAAAGGCCAAGAUCACCAACUGAAAUAUUUCAGGUGGAGGGCCUACUAAUAAAGCAUUUUUAUUUUGUGUGGUUGAACUUCAAAAUGGCUUAUUCUUAGAAUUCAUAAAAAAUACCUUAAAUAACUUAAGGACAUGAAUAAUUGUUCUUUCAGCGACAAAAAUACUCUUUUUUUAGCUUAAAAAAAAGGCUCAUUGUUAUUCUUGGUAGUCAAUGGCACAAGGGUUGUUAUUAGAAUGGAAAAAAAAUCUUUUGACAGCUUUGACUUAACUCCUACGCUCAGAGGAUGUCAUUUAAUGUAAAAGCGCAAACACACACAAAGGCAAGAGAAGAAAUGCCUGCUUAAAACCAUCCCCUCUUCAAAACUUGCAGAUGUCUUUCAAAAACCCUACAUAAUGUUUUUAGAGUUUAUUUAUAAACUUAGAUACUUUAGACACAUUUUGUGUAGAACUUACUGUUUUAAACUCUGAAAACUUUUUUUUUCUUGAAUUCUAGAAAAGUGAAGGUUUCCAGUGUCUCCUUUGACUAUCAGUGAUGUUAAACACACAAUAAAAACACAAACAAUAAACUAGGGGGCAGGGGGACCGCCCUUAAAAGGACCCCCAGGGGCCUGUCAGGACCACAGGGAUGGGCACCACGGUCUGGCACAAACACCACCAAGCCAUCUGUCUGCGGCUUCCAUUGGCCUCAGGCCAGACGCCGUGCCCUGGGUAGGAAGGUCAUGACAUCGAUCUUCCAGGGGUGUUGAGAAACUGACUGAAGAAGGAGAUUACCACAGAAAUUUCAGAGCCAUGUGGAAGACUCCAUUCCUGGCCAGAAAACCCUCUUCCAUGUCAAGGCUAAGAGCAGAGGUGAGACGAAGGAGGCAGACGAGAAUCUUCCACUGUCAAGGAGUCCUCAGAUGAUGAAGACAGUCAGUCACUACCAAAAAUGGACUAAAAACCAGGCUGGGGCUUCCCUGACCAAUAAAACAGUAUGUCCCUCAAGGAAGUAGUUCACUAACGUGAAGUCCAAGUUGAAGGAAGGCAGUUGGAAGCUCCCUGCACACAAACGCUACGGUGUCUAUGAGCCUCAUGACCAAAUGCACAGCUGAUCUCAGAUGGUCACGGGUGCGCCCUGCCAGUGACCACCAGAGCACUCUCAGUGCCCACUACCUGACUGGGAGCUAAACAGCCUGAGUAGCUCCCAGGCUAAUGGGCGCUGGCCCUCUUGUUUACUCUUGGACAGCACUAUGUUGGUACUAUGGUACUAAGCCUACAAACAAGCAACAGCCGGACAGUAGGUAAAAGCAGAACUCUGACCCACAACCUGCAGCAACCUGGCCAGGAGACCAAGCAUUUAUCUACAGCAACCAGCCCGGGUAGCCAGCCUGCUAUCUCUACAUCAUGCUUGUAAACAGUCAGGCCACUGCCUCUAGCAAUAAUCCAAAAUGCCAACCAAUAACUUCUGCAGUGAUCAGCUACAAAUGGCCAGGACUUGAUUAAAAAUUGAGAACUUCCCUAAUUUCCAACACCUCCCACUUACAACUGAGGAACUACUAGAGAAAGCCAAACACGCACCUUUAAACGAUCACAGAUGCCCACCUUCCUGAGCCCACCUCCAGCUUCCCCACGCCAAUGGCCUCCCAUCAGGGCACACCAGGAACCUUCUCUGCUCCCACGUACAGCUCUCCCCCUCCUCUGCCUGCCUCUGAGUCUCUGCCGAAAUGCAAGAGAUGGUGGCUGACUCCCUUGCUAUAUAGUCAGUUCUGCAUAAAUAGCCUUUGCUGGUUCUCUUCUGGCUGGUCUCCAUUUAUUUCCUCAGCCCUGCAUUGCUCAGGCCUCCCUUAUCCUUGCCUCUCUAUCUCCUUCCCAAACCAAAGUAGCAUGAAGAAAAUGAAUUUCAAUGAGAGAGUCAGCCAUUGCUCUGGGAAAAGGUAGACCUACAUAGGACCAAUGUGUACAAUCAUGAAACAUUCUUCUUAUGUUCAAUUGGCGAAGUGACUUAUCUGGAUAGCAUCAAGAGUGAAUACUCACUGAUCCAGAACUGGAACAACAGAAAGUUCCCCU